GUGCUUGCUUUGGCAGCACAUAUACUAAAAUUGGAACGAUACGGAGAACGAUACAUCCUUGCCCCUGCGCAAGGAUGACAUGGAAAUUCGUGAUCGUUCCAUAUUUUU
ensembl:snRNA U6 U6 spliceosomal RNA